CUGGGGCUGCAGCGAGGGCUGAGCUGGGAUCAUUUCAAACACCCGUAGAGGGUCCAGUCCGCGUGGUCUGGUGACCGUUGGGGAGCCCGUGGUAGGAAUGAAGGAGCCGCCCCAACGCGAGGACAGAAGCCGGGAGAGCAGAUAUUCCAUAUCUGGAGAAUUUGCAAAAGUUCAACAGAUUAAUUGAUGGACCAAUCAGUGUGCCAAAUGUGGAUGAAUGCAAGGAAUGCACUGGGGUCCUGAGAAAGCUGAAAUUACUUUCAGGCUUAAACUUACACUUAGCUAAACAAAAGACUUUAGAAGGACACAAUUCACCAGAUAUAAUCUGAUCAAGGCUGUGUACAGAAAGACUAUCUUCUUAUUUCUGGUGUGUAAAGUGUGUCUUUUUACUCCUUCAAAUAUUUGUUAUAUUAAAGUUACCAAGUAUUUCCCUUCCUUCCCCUCCCUGAAUUAGAGAGCAUCAUUUGACUAUUUGUAUGUGAAUCUAUAUUGUGAAGAUUGGAUUUAGCUAUCUCCUGAUUGUAACAAUGAAGAUAUUUAAUUUAACAAAAUGAGGAAUGUCUUGUGAACUUUACAUUACUCCACCCUAUUUAGUCUAACAAAAUCAGUACUGUCUACACCCAUACUUAAGGAUUAAGUAUUUAGGAGGAUGGCCUUUGAUAGACAUGUACUAGCUUGACAAAUCAGAAACAUUUGACAGACCCCUGGGCUGUCCCAAGUCAAGCUUAAGCUACCAUUGGUAAUGAUGAGACGCAGGAAAGUGAUGUAAAACCAUCUAUAUAUUUUGCGUCACUUCCUCUCUUCAUCUCUUUCCCCAGAGAGGUGGCCCUGGCUGGCAGCGUGCUAAGCGUUCCAACACCUUGGCAUGGUGGCAGCUAUUGUCCGGAUUGGCGGUGAUUCUAUUCUGGGAGAAGCUGACUAGCUAGUUCAGGUUCAGGCAUCUUAGCUGAGCCCUCUUGGAGUUUAGGCUGAUUCCUUUCUCCUUUACCUUCCAACACUAUCCUCUUAAAAGCCACUAAUUUGAACUCCCCCGGCACAGGCCAGGCGGGAAAAAUCCUACACCUUUUCCCUCUCCCUUCUCCUUAAUUUCUUUCCUCUAUAUUAAUUAAAAUCACCAUAAAUUUCAAGCUGACUUGGGUAUUAUUUGGGAUAUCCCUUGGCAACCAAAAUUAAUUUAAUUUAGGUCACAACCCUAAAAUUAUCCUUUCAAUAUAUGUGUACAAACACAUACAGAAACUCUUGCUUGUUUCUAUUUCUCAGUUCUCUGUAGGUAGACACACAAAUUGUUCUUCAAACAAUAUUUCUGUUGUGUAUAAAGUUCUCUUGGUUCUACUCAUCUCACUCUUCAUAAGUCUUAAAUAGGUCUUUCUUUCUAGUUAAAAAAAAUUAACUUGCUUAUCAUUUCUUGUUGUCCAGUAGUGUUCCAUCACAACCAUGCUGCAACUUGUUUUGCCAUUCCUCAACUGAUGGGCAUCCCCUUCAUUUCCAGUUUUUUGAAAGCUGCUUUAAACAUUUUAGGAUAUAUAGAUUCUUUUCCUUUUUCCUUGAUCACCUUAGGAAACAAACUUAAUAAUAAUGAUUUUGCAGUCAAGUGGUAUAAACAGUUUUAUGAGUCUUUGAGCACAAUUCCAGAUUGCUCUCCAAAAUGGAUGGAUCAGUUCACAGUUCCACCAACAGUGUAUUAGUGUCCCCCAUUUUUCCACAUCCUCUCCAAUAUUUGUCAUUUCCUCCUUUUAUCAUUUUAGUCUUGAUGUAGCUCUAGAGAGUAUCUUUUCUGGCUGCCACAUCACAGUGCUGAUUCAUACUUAUUUUGCAAUCCACUAAAACCUCCAGAUCUUUUAGAGAUACACUGUUGUAUAACCAUGCUUGGAUAAGCUAAAUAGCAAAGUGGAUGGAAUGCCUGGUCCAGAGUGAGGAAGAUUCAUCUUCUUGAAUUCAAAUCUGGCCUCAGAAAUGAGCUGUGUGACCCUGAAGAAGUCACUUAGCUCUGGUUACCUCAGUUUCCUUACAUUUACAAUGAGUUAGAGAAAGAAAGAAACCACCAUUAUUUCUUCCAAGAAAACCCCAAAUGGGGGUACAAAGAGUCAGACACAACAGAACGAUUACUGAAAAACAAACUAUGCCCUCCUUGUCCUAUUCUUCUAAAGACUUUUAACUUAAGUAAAAAAAAAAACAAACAACUAUAUGUAUUCCUUUUAUAUUUCAUUUUGAGUCACUUUUAUCUUCUAGACAGUCGAUAUCUUUUUAGAUCAUGGCUGUGUUUUCCAUUGUCUUGACUCUCCUUCCCAACCAACAUUGUGCCAUUUGUAAAUUUGAUAAGCCUGCCAUUUUUGCAUUUAUGACUAUUUUUGAGUCCAACCAUGUAAUUCAUUCCAAUUCUUUCUAACUGAAUCAUUGUCUAGGAAAUUGGAGCAUUUUCUUCAUCUUUUCAGUGGAAAUAGUAUGAGAUGCCUCUUCAAAUAUGUUUCUGAAACCCAGAUAAACUAUGCUCAGCAUCUCCCUGACCUCAGUUUAGUAACCUUCUCAAAAGGGGAAAUAGUUCAGCUGUCCUGACCUUUUGUUGAUUUGGCACUACAGAGGCUCUUUGGAACCAAUGUUUCUGUUUCUGGAUGACCACUUACCGUCUCUCUGAUGCUCAGCCUUGGAUUUCGCCAGCUUUAACUUGAUCUUGCUGGUAUCUAGUGUUCAGCCUCCUUUCUUUUUUGAAAUUGGGACAGUAUUAUUCCGUCUCCAGUGCGGUGGUGCAUUUUUCACUCAUUUCCUACAUCUCUGGUCACUCAGGAAUCACAUCUGCCAGGUGUUUUCAGGACAUGAUUCAGAAACUAGUCUCAGCUAAGUGACUUAACUUCAUCAAGGGUAACUGGCUGAAUGAAGCAUUGCAAAUAUAUUUAUGAAGGAGUUAUUAUAUAUCAAAUAUUCUGUUAGAUAGACAUGAAACAGCAGUCCCUUCUAAAGACCUUGUAUUCUAAUAACGCAGAGGGGUUUUUAAGUUCACAGAUAUCUUUUCUUUAAAUUAAAUGAAAUCUUUUUUUCAAAUUUUAAUUAUAUGCUUAGUAACCACCACCACCAAAAAAGAAAAUUGUAUUGGCAGAUGCAAAAAAAGAUGUACAAAACAAUUUGUUUAAAAUAUGUAAGUUAUACAUGUAUAGUAAUAUAUAUAUAUAUGUGUGUGUGUCCUCUGCUUUUGAGUUCUCUUUGCAUUUGUUUUACUUUGAUGCUUUCAUCUCUUGAUUUUUGUGGCUAUUCUUUUUUUAAUGUAAUCCUAGCAUGUAUUAUUCUUUUUUGUCUCUUCAUAUAGUUCUCAUUUUCCUUUAUAUUUCCAACAUUUGUCAUUUCCAAUAAUAAUACGAUCCAUUACGUUCACAUAUUAUCUAUUCAGCCAUUUCUCCAAUCCCUGCAAUCAUAUUCCUUCCAGUUAUUUUGUCAUUAAAAAUAAAGCUUUCAAGAAUAUUCCCCAAUUGA